rnacentral:rRNA from 1 species
GAAAAAAACUCCGGUGGUAUGAGAUGGACCCGCGUCUGAUUAGGUAGUUGGUGGGGUAACGGCCUACCAAGCCGACGAUCAGUAGCCGACCUGAGAGGGUGACCGGCCACAUUGGGACUGAGACACGGCCCAAACUCCUACGGGAGGCAGCAGUGGGGAAUAUUGCACAAUGGGGGAAACCCUGAUGCAGCGACGCCGCGUGAGCGAUGAAGUAUUUCGGUAUGUAAAGCUCUAUCAGCAGGGAAGAAAAUGACGGUACCUGACUAAGAAGCCCCGGCUAACUACGUGCCAGCAGCCGCGGUAAUACGUAGGGGGCAAGCGUUAUCCGGAUUUACUGGGUGUAAAGGGAGCGUAGACGGCAUGGCAAGCCAGAUGUGAAAGCCCGGGGCUCAACCCCGGGACUGCAUUUGGAACUGUCAGGCUAGAGUGUCGGAGAGGAAAGCGGAAUUCCUAGUGUAGCGGUGAAAUGCGUAGAUAUUAGGAGGAACACCAGUGGCGAAGGCGGCUUUCUGGACGAUGACUGACGUUGAGGCUCGAAAGCGUGGGGAG